AGAGUUUGAUCCUGGCUCAGAGCGAACGCUGGCGGCAGGCCUAACACAUGCAAGUCGAACGCGUCCUUCGGGACGAGUGGCGGACGGGUGAGUAACACGUGGGAACGUGCCCUUUGGUUCGGAAUAACUCAGGGAAACUUGAGCUAAUACCGGAUGAGCUGCGGGGGAAAGAUUUAUCGCCGAAGGAGCGGCCCGCGUCU
rnacentral:rRNA from 1 species